rnacentral:tRNA from 1 species
UAAGGCAGCGGGUUUUGGUCCCGUUACUCGGAGGUUCGAAUCCUUCCGUCCCAGA